AAUCUCAGUCUUUUCAUGAGGAAACAUCAGGCAAACCCAAACUGAGAGACCUUCCACAAAACAUCUGACAAUCACUAGUCAGAGUGUCACAGUCAUGAAACUGUCACAGAUCAGAGAAGACUAAGGAGAUAGGACAACUAAAGAAAGAGAAGAACAAAGUACAGAAGAGAAGAGGAAAGAAGUAGAAAAGGAAGAUGGUGAAAGGUUUGCGCAUCAUCAAGAAAGUGACAAAGAAGCAAACUAUAUGGAUAUCAGGGGACAAGGGUUAAGACGUUUCUCAAUGAACAGCAACAACACAAAUUUGAAAUUGUUUAAGCGUAUGGCCAAGCAUUUGGCUGAGAUGACAAAAUCUGACAUCAUAAGGCACCAAAAAAUUAUUUUGACCCUAUCUCCCCCCAAAAAUAACUUCAUCAUCACAAUGGGUCUGCCAGGAUGACUUAUCAGAAAAUGUACCAGGUAUUUGAGUGAACUAAGCUUUUAUCUGGGUUUAUUUAAUAAAGUCCAUUUAAAAAUUAGACAAUGACUACUAAAUAUAAUGAUUUUUGUUUCCGCAUAAUUGAUGCUAGGUUGUUCUUUCUGACAACAAUCCACCAAAACAUUCAGCUGCAUCUUCAUAGAGCAAAUACAACCAUUAGCCCAGAAGAGGUGCUUCCUUUCCUUUCCAUUUUCACUGAUAAGUGGGCACAGAUCCAAUCCAUCCACUAGCAAUGGAGG